AUUGAACGCUGGCGGCAGGCCUAACACAUGCAAGUCGAACGAGUGGCGGACGGGUGAGUAAUGCUUGGGAAUCUAGCCUAUGGAGGGGGAUAACUACGGGAAACUGUAGCUAAUACCGCGUACCAUAGGGUGAGCCCAAGUGGGAUUAGGUAGUUGGUGAGGUAAAGGCUCACCAAGGCGACGAUCUCUAGCUGGUCUGAGAGGAUGACCAGCCACACUGGAACUGAGACACGGUCCAGACUCCUACGGGAGGCAGCAGUGGGGAAUAUUGCGCAAUGGGGGCAACCUGUCGAAGCCAUGCCGCGUGAAUGAAGAAGGCCUUCGGGUUGUAAAGUACUUUCGGUAGCGAGGCGUUACCUACAGAAGAAGCACCGGCUAACUCCGUGCCAGCAGCCGCGGUAAUAC
rnacentral:rRNA from 1 species